rnacentral:sRNA from 1 species
CGGACGGCAAGUUGGGCAAGGUCAGCUUGGAUGCAAGGUGCUUGGCGUCUUCGUGAUGAUGCUCCAUUCCCAAGGUCAGGGUUAUAAUCCCCUCGAUUUCUCGGCGAUUUCCCACGCUUUCACGGCACCAUCUUCAGGUGCAUUUCACGGCCAGCGAAGAUGAUGAUCUCACCUGGCCUUAAGCGGCGGAGAUGAUGAUUAUGAGCGGCUUAAUGUUAAUGGUCCAUGUUAAUUGUUAGCCGAAGUGAUCCGGGAAAAAAA